rnacentral:rRNA from 1 species
AGUUUGAUCCUGGCUCAGGACGAACGCUGGCGGCGUACUUAACACAUGCAAGUCGAGCGGUAAGGCCCUUCGGGGUACACGAGCGGCGAACGCGGUGAGUAACAGGUGUGUGAUCUGCCCUGCACUUCGGGAUAAGCCUGGGAAACUGGGUCUAAUACCGGAUAUGACCUUCGGCUGCAUGGCUGAGGGUGGAAAGGUUUACUGGUGCAGGAUGGGCCCGCGGCCUAUCAGCUUGUUGGUGGGGUAAUGGCCAACCAAGGCGACGACGGGUAGCCGACCUGAGAGGGUGACCGGCCACACUGGGACUGAGACACGGCCCAGACUCAGUACGGGAGGCAGCAGUGGGGAAUAUUGCACAAUGGGCGAAAGCCUGAUGCAGCGAUGCCGCGUGAGGGAUGACGGUCCUUCGGGUUGUAAACCUCUUUCAGCAGGGACGAAGCGAAAGUGACGGUACCUGCAGAAGAAGCACCGGACAACUACGUGCCAGCAGCCGCGGUAAUACGUAGGGUGCAAGCGUUGUCCGGAAUUACUGGGCGUUAAAGAGCUCGUAGGCGGUUUGUCGCGUCGUCUGUGAAAACUCGAGGCUCAAACUCGAGCCUUGCAGGCGAUACGGGCAGACUUGAGUACUGCAGGGG